rnacentral:lncRNA from 1 species
AAACAAUAUGGCGAGUGGAGUGAAGCUCGAGGCGUAGAAAGAAACUUCGAAUAUUACACGGGUCUCUUUAACAAGAAGAAACAAGAUGGCGGGUGGAGUGAAGCUUCGAGGUGUGGACACAAACAUCGACCAUUAUACGUUGGAUCAUCAAGGAUAAGAAGGCUAGCUGAAUCUUUAAGUGUUAGUUUUAGAUGUUAUUUAGUAAAAUUACACCAGCGAAAACAAUUUCCUUUGAAUUGAUUGAGCACCAGUGUAAUUCUACUAAAUACUUAUUCACCACCGAUUGAGUGGAUUCUGGUUGAUAUUUGCCUCAAAUAUUGGCUGAUCUUCACUUUGUCUUUGGUGAAUAAUCUUUAAUUAUUAAAUAUAUCUACAUAUAAUGCUUUGUUGUAUGUAGAUUUGUUUUCACCACUUUAAGAAUAAGAACUCAAACUAUCAAAGGUUGUGCAAGCUUUUUGUUACUUAAUAAAAAGCGACCACAUCUUUUGAAUUUUCUUACAAUUUACUAAAUGCUGGUAACUUAUGCACAUAUAAUGUCUCCUUUGGACCUGAUGACUGGCUGGCUUGGAUCAACUCUACAUAUUAUGAUAUUAGAUUUGAUUGAUGUAUGAUUUAGAUUGCCUUUUGACUAAUAUUUUUUGAUCUUUAUUUGUCUCACAUUGAAUGAUUCAUUUUACAUUUGAUUGAUUAUUGAUGUUUAUGAAAAAGUUUCUUUCAAAAUUUUGUAUAUUCUAUUCAAACUACUUCUAAAUUUUUUCCCCAGAGACAAGUGUUAAUUUAAGAUACACAUUUUAAAUUAUUUUGAAUCAGAUUUUCAUUACUCUAAGUCCUUUGCUUUAAUUUUUUCCAUCUUUUUUGCUUUCAAACCGGAUUUGUCAAAUUCCAAGAAUCCAAAAUUUGGAAAAAAGCUUUUUCAUAAACAAUUUCUUUGUUUGACAUGUUUACAGUUUGUACAGUAUGCUCUCGCUGUACUAAAAAAUUCUGUGAUCCUAAUGUCUUUUUAAAAAUUGAAGACGACAAAAAAAAGAAACCUCUCUUUUUGGCUUUCCAUUUGGUCCAUUAAUUUUUUUAGCUGUUCUGCAACCAUAGUAAGCGAGAGGAUACUGUAUACAUCAUGAUGAUUGUUUUUCUCCUUGAUGCAUUUGAUGAUACAGUAGAACCACACUAUCUUUUCCUUGUCAUCGGACAAUAUUAAAUUAAGUGUCUGGUACAUUUUUAUACUCUGAUUGUCUGCGAUGUAUUGCCCAAUUUUUAUGUCGUGACUGUUUUCUCAAUCAGCGUGUAGCAACUAAGACAGUAGUAACCAAAAUCAUGAUCAAUCUGCUGCAUUUUAGAUUUUUUGUUUUUGUUUUAUUCUCCUUUGAGCAAAUUUGAUGAGAUAGUGUGGUUCUACUUUCUUUGAUUACCAUAUAUUAUGAUGCUUUAAUAAAGAUUUGCCUGCUAUAUUCUGUACUCCUGGUUCACUCCCUUCAACAUGGUAAGUCAAGUGCAUAAUUUACCAGCAUUUAAGUCUUGUAUUUUUCCACCAAUGUCCUCUUUUAUCAUCCAAUUGCUUUUCUGAAUCUCUUACAUUGCUAUUCAAAAAUAUGUAGACCAUGUAUUGUGGUGUUACAUUCAUUUCAAAUUACCCAGAGGAUGUUGGUUGGAAGGUGCAAUUUUCUAAAUUACUUUUCUCAGACAAGUUCUUAGUUACCUUACAAACACUAAAACUUGCAGAGCAACAGAUGAGUCAAUCGAAUUAAUUCACCCAAAUAACAAGUAUCAUGUACAAAAGAUUUAGGCUUUCAUGUCUUUGCCAAUUUUUUUAAUUUUUUUAAACUUAGUACAAAUUGAACCUAUUUUGUACUACUGUAGUCAACUUAUUAGCCCAUUACCCGUUGCAACUGCUUGUAGUGUUUGUACUCAUCAGUGGAAAUACUGUAGUUCCAUUUAUUUUUAAAGUGGUGAAAAUAUAUUAACUUAGGACUAUGAGUGGACACACCAAAGAUCAGAUAGAAAUACUGUACAAAAUUCCAUUUGGAUAUUGAAUGAUAUUUUAUGGCUAUGCCAUAUCAAUCCUGUUUCAAGUUCUUUCUGUAAUAUUUUAUUAUCUAAAUAUUUUUAUUUUUGGCCACCUUUUACAUUGUUCAGCUAAAACCUAAAAUCAUUAAAAAACUGGAUCCCUUUUUUAAAGGGCUCACCAAUUAUCUCUCAGCUCCAAUUUCAUCUUUUUAUUUUGGUUCCAUUUACUUAAUCACAAAUGAGGAAAGUCUCAAAACUAUAAGUGAUUUGAUUGUACUCCACAAAAUGUACUAACUACUAAAAAAACCUGAUCAGAAAAAAAAUGCAAACCAACAAAAAAGUUAUUUGGCAUCGGUAUUUCACAGGACUUGGUGUGUUCAUCUCAUAGUCUGACUAAGGUGUUGCUUGAGUAAAAGUACAACAAGAGAUAACAAAUGGUAUACUAAAAUGAUUUCUGUCGAUUUCUGUCCAACUCUGAAAAGAGAUUUAUUCGUUAAAAUGAUUUCAAAUUGAAAUUGUUAUUUUACAAAUCAAAUAGUAUGUUGCCAUGUUUCAGGCACUGGAAUGGAUUUGUUAACUAAGAUGAUUGAAAAAAAUUGGGUUUAUCUGAUGUUGGCGUUAUAAUGGCUUGAUAUGUUUUUCUUGCCACUACCUUUGGACUUCAAAUUGCAAAUACCCAGACUGAAAGCAAUUAUUAAAAGAAAAAAACAACUAAAAUUACAUACGCGGUUGCAAACAAUUCAUGCUUGGUCAGCAAAAAAAUACCAUUUGUUACUCUUGCUGUAAUGCAGAAUAGAUUGUGUAGGAUUGAGUAAACCAUGGUACAGACUUGAGGUGCCAAAAUAAAUCAACUCUGAUUUUAUCCUAAAACCAUACUAUAACACACUGUACUAUACCUUGCCAUACACCAUGGUUUGCUGCAAUCCUGUCUAAGUCUAUUCUGUUACUAGUACUGGUAAGGCUCAGUGUAGACCUGGAACUUUUCAUUGAUCAAUUAAUUAAAUGUUGAGAGGUAUUUAAAAUCAGUCAUCCAAAAUUGCGUCUUUUAGAGUUUCAUUAAGCUUCAUGCAAGCUAAUUUUUAUUGAUCGAAUAUUCAUUGUUGGGAGGUAUCUAAAAUCAGUCAUUCAAAAUUGGGUCUUUUAGAGUUUCAUAAAGCUCCACGCAAGCUACCCUCUAAUCAGUUUAAGGCGGCUUUCAAACUGCUUAGAUAAAGUAGAUGAAAAGUUCCAAGUCUAACUGGGCCCAAUUAAUACUGUAUACGAGGCAUAAAACCAGUUUUAUGCCUCGUUUUAGUUUCCAGUACCAGUCUUUUAAUCAAGCAACACCUUUGUCUUCAGAAUCCUAAUCAAAAGCUCUGUCCCUGAGGUCAUCAGUUCAUCCUAUGCCAAACCCUUAAGGGUGGCCCUUAACACAGUGUUGAGGGCCAUUUUUUCUUAAGGGGAGGGUAGGUUUGAACUUUUGAUCUCAGGGACCUUCGUCUAAUUACCCUAGGGGCAAAAAAAAUCACAAAAAGACUUAGUAUAUAUUUUUUCAAAAUUUAUGGGGAUUUUUUACUUUUUUUUCACAAUUUUUCAUUUUUUUUCAUUUUUUUUCUUUCCAAUCUGAUUUUUUUUCAUUUUUUUAAGCCAAUUUGAUUUUUUUUCCUGGUUGUUUUUUUGAGCCAACCUUCUUACCUUGUCUAUGGAUACCUUGUUCCUUGCUUGUGGGUGGCUGUCUUUUUGCUUGUCCAAUUUUUCAUCUGAGAACCUAGACCUUACCUGGAUUUGAACCCUUACCUUCAACUUGCCUCUUGUCCAUUAGCCAGUGCACUUGUGUUGUAUACUGUCAGUUUAUUUGUUGAAAGUGAUGGUAUUGAUGUACCUUAUAUCAUAGGGCUUUGUAAUGGCUUGCAUUAAUUACCAAUUAAAAAUUCUCAUGAAUAUU